rnacentral:lncRNA from 13 species
GUUGUAAACAUAAUAGCAUGUGUCAUUAUCCUGUGUGUUGUAGACAUAAUACCAUGUGUCAUUAUCCUGUGUGUUGUAGACAUCAUACCAUGUGUCAUUAUCCUGUGUGUUGUAGACAUCAGGCCAUGUGUCAUUAUCCUGUGUGUUGUAGACAUCAUGCCAUGUGUCAUUAUCCUGUGUGUUGUAGACAUCAUGCCAUGUGUCAUCAUCCUGUGUGUUUCUCUCUCCCUGCAGGUAGAUAAAGUGUGUGGUCUGUCUGGUGAGGAUCCCACCACCAGUGUCCACCCUGACCCUACCCCAGAGUUCAUGACCCCCACGGUGACACCAUCAACUGCCCCUCCCUCUAUCAUCCCCUCCAUUCCCCCACAGGAACAGCUGAUGGGAAACCUUGCCCACCUGAGGAGUUCAUUCACCCUGAAACACUCCAGGAAUGAUAAACCUAGAAGUCUGAAAAAGAUCUCUAGGUAAGCAUGACAGACCCACCAGCAGAAUGACAAGUACCUGUCUCUGUCUUCUCAGUCUCACAUAUUGCCAUCUGUCUGUCGAUCUAUCUAUCUAUCUAUCUAUCUAUCUAUCUAUCUAUCUAUGUCCGUCUGUCGUACUCUGAACUCUGUUUGUAUCUGUGUGUCUGCCUCUGUUUCUAACUCUAUCUCUCUGUUUUCUAAAUCUAUAUCUCUGUUUCUAUCUCUCUGUUUCUAUCUCUGUGUCUAACUGUGUCUAAAUCUAUCUCUCUGUUACUAACUCUAUCUCUCUGUCUGUUUUCUCUCUGUCUCUAUUUUCUACCUCUAUCUCUCUGUUUCUAUCUCUCUGUUUUCUAACCCAAUCUCUGUUUUCUAAUUCUAUCUCUCUGUUACUAACUCUAUCUCUCUGUCUCUGUUUUCUAACCCAAUCUCUGUUUUCUAAUUGUAUCUCUCUGUUUCUAACUCUAAGUCUCUGUCUCUCUGUGUCUAACUCUAUCUCUGUUACGCUCGUGGAAAUGAUCGGACCAAGGUGCAGCGUGGUAGUCGUACAUUUUGUCUUUAUUAAAAAUGAACACCUAAAAACAACAAAAGGAAAAGGAACAUAACGUUCGGUAGGCUACACAGAGCUGUACAAAAACAACAUCCCACAAAACUAAGGCGGCAAAACAGGCUACCUAAGUAUGAUUCCCAAUCAGAGACAACGAUAGACAGCUGUCCCUGAUUGAGAACCAUACCUGGCCAAAACAUAGAAAUAAAGAACAUAGAGUUUCCCACCCGAGUCACACCCUGACCAACCAAACAUAGAGAAUAAAAAGAUCUCUACGGUCAGGGCGUGACAAUCUCUCUGUUUCUACCUCUCUGUGUCUAACUCUAUUUCUCUGUUUGUAUCUCUCUGUUUCUAACUCUAUCUCUCUGUUUUCUAACUCUACCUCUCUGUUUCUAAUUCUAUCGCUCUGUUUCUAUCUCUGUUUUUUUUUUACUCUCUCUGUUUCUAUCUAUAUCGCUCUGUUUCUAUCUCUAUCGCUCUGUUUUCUAACUCUAUCUCUCUGUUUCUAUCUCUCUGUUUUCUGUUUCUAUCUAUAUCUCUCUGUUUCUAAGUCUCUGUUUUCUAACUCUAUCUCUCUGUUUCUAACUCUCUGUUUCUAACUCUCUGUCUCUGUUUUCUAACUAUCUGUUUUCUAACUCUCUGAGUCUCUCUAUCACUCUGUUUUCUAACUCUAUAUCUUUGUUUCUAUCUCUAUCUCUCUGUUUCUAUCUCUCUGUUUUCUAACUCUCUGUCUCUGUUUUCUAACUAUCUGUUUUCUAUCUCUGUUUCUAUCUCCAUCUCUCUGUUUCUAUCUCUCUGUUUUCUAACUCUCUGUUUUCUAACUCUAUCUAUGUUUCUAUCUCUCUGUUUCUAUCUCUCUGUUUCUNNNNNNNNNNGGAGAUUGCAAUUCCUACAGCUUCCACACGAUGUAGCCAAAAACGUCAUUUUCAUUGACAAAAAUCCUUUGUGUCAUGACAAAUAGAUCCUUCAUUCCAUCCAGCCUACAGCAAUCGAUUUUGGAAGAGAGAAAAGGGGACAUUAUUUUCUUGAGUAGCUGCUAUUGAAUACAGAUCGCCCAGUGAUCAAUUUGAUCGCUUAUUAACGUUUACAAAUACCUAAAGUUGGGUUACAAAAGUAGGUUGAAGUGUUU